ensembl:lncRNA
GCUAUUCGUCUGUUUCACUAGCUUGCGUUGGCAUGUGAUUUCCAUCCAGCCCCUGCUGCUUUUCCUCUGAGUGUUAGACUCUUUCCCUCUUGAGUAGGAGGAACACCAUAACACCAAGUUAUGCACAGCAGCCCCCAUCAGGAGAAUGAAAGGGGAUCUUCUGACCCAGGGAUUGAAACCACGUCUGUUGUGUCUCCUGCGCUGGCAGGCAGAUUCUUUACCAAGGUACCACCUGGGAAGCCCAUAAAAGAAUGAAAUGAUGACAUGGUCAGCAACAUGGAUGGACCAGGAGAUUAUCAUACCGAGUGAGGUGGAUUCUUUACCACUGAACCUCCUGCGAAGCUUUCUGAAGUGCCCCUCCUAUCAAAAGUCCCCAAACCCUAAGAGGACCUCAAGGACCCAGGAAAGGAUGCGACGGCCCCCAAUGAGCCGGCAGCCACCAACCACCAGCACAACACCUGUCAUAUUGAGACUUCAGUGAAGGCUUCCUCCAGGGAAUGGCAGUUGAUCAUUUGCCCAACAACCAGCCUAUUGAAAGGAGAAUACACUUUUCUUCCUCUUAUUUAUUUCCCUUAAUUUUUGCUUUAUAUUGGAGUAGAGUUGAUUAACAAUGUUGUGCUAGCAUCAGCUGUGUGCACUUAUAUAAAACAGAUAACCAACAAGAACCUACUGUAUUGCACAGGGAACUCUGCUUAAUUUUGUUAUAAGCUGUGAAACCAUCUGGUCCUGGGCUUUUGUUUGUUGGAAGAUUUUUUAUUCCAGUUCCAAUUUCCAUGCUUGUGAUUGGUCUGUUCAAAUUUUCUAUUUCUUCCUGGUUCAGUUUAAGGAAGUUAUACUUUUCUAAGAAUCUGUCCAUUUCUUCCAAGUUGUCCAUUUUAUUGCUAUAUAGUUGCUCCUAGUAGUCUCUUAUGACCAUUUGUAUUUCUGUAAUAAGC